GUUCUUCGGAAUUAGAGACCGGCGCACGGGUGCGUAACGCGUAUGCAAUCAUACCUUUUACAGAGGGAUAGCCCAGAGAAAUUUGGAUUAAUACCUCAUAGUAUAGCAGUUUCGCAUGAAACCACUAUUAAAGUCACAACGGUAAAAGAUGAGCAUGCGUCCCAUUAGCUAGUUGGUAAGGUAACGGCUUACCAAGGCUACGAUGGGUAGGGGUCCUGAGAGGGAGAUCCCCCACACUGGUACUGAGACACGGACCAGACUCCUACGGGAGGCAGCAGUGAGGAAUAUUGGACAAUGGGCGCAAGCCUGAUCCAGCCAUGCCGCGUGCAGGAUGACGGUCCUAUGGAUUGUAAACUGCUUUUAUACAGGAAGAAACCCUGGUUCGUGAACCAGCUUGACGGUACUGUAAGAAUAAGGAUCGGCUAACUCCGUGCCAGCAGCCGCGGUAAUACGGAGGAUCCAAGCGUUAUCCGGAAUCAUUGGGUUUAAAGGGUCCGUAGGCGGUUUAAUAAGUCAGUGGUGAAAGCCCAUCGCUCAACGGUGGAACGGCCAUUGAUACUGUUAAACUUGAAUUAUU
rnacentral:rRNA from 1 species